ACGAACGCUGGCGGCGUGCCUAAUACAUGCAAGUAGAACGCUGAAGAGAGGAGCUUGCUUUUCUUGGAUGAGUUGCGAACGGGUGAGUAACGCGUAGGUAACCUGCCUUGUAGCGGGGGAUAACUAUUGGAAACGAUAGCUAAUACCGCAUAACAAUGGAUGACCCAUGUCAUUUAUUUGAAAGGGGCAAAUGCUCCACUACAAGAUGGACCUGCGUUGUAUUAGCUAGUAGGUGAGGUAACGGCUCACCUAGGCGACGAUACAUAGCCGACCUGAGAGGGUGAUCGGCCACACUGGGACUGAGACACGGCCCAGACUCCUACGGGAGGCAGCAGUAGGGAAUCUUCGGCAAUGGGGGCAACCCUGACCGAGCAACGCCGCGUGAGUGAAGAAGGUUUUCGGAUCGUAAAGCUCUGUUGUAAGUCAAGAACGAGUGUGAGAGUGGAAAGUUCACACUGUGACGGUAGCUUACCAGAAAGGGACGGCUAACUACGUGCCAGCAGCCGCGGUAAUACGUAGGUCCCGAGCGUUGUCCGGAUUUAUUGGGCGUAAAGCGAGCGCAGGCGGUUUGAUAAGUCUGAAGUUAAAGGCUGUGGCUCAACCAUAGUUCGCUUUGGAAACUGUCAAACUUGAGUGCAGAAGGGGAGAGUGGAAUUCCAUGUGUAGCGGUGAAAUGCGUAGAUAUAUGGAGGAACACCGGUGGCGAAAGCGGCUCUCUGGUCUGUAACUGACGCUGAGGCUCGAAAGCGUGGGGAGCGAACAGGAUUAGAUACCCUGGUAGUCCACGCCGUAAACGAUGAGUGCUAGGUGUUGGAUCCUUUCCGGGAUUCAGUGCCGCAGCUAACGCAUUAAGCACUCCGCCUGGGGAGUACGACCGCAAGGUUGAAACUCAAAGGAAUUGACGGGGGCCCGCACAAGCGGUGGAGCAUGUGGUUUAAUUCGAAGCAACGCGAAGAACCUUACCAGGUCUUGACAUCCCGAUGCUAUUUCUAGAGAUAGAAAGUUACUUCGGUACAUCGGUGACAGGUGGUGCAUGGUUGUCGUCAGCUCGUGUCGUGAGAUGUUGGGUUAAGUCCCGCAACGAGCGCAACCCCUAUUGUUAGUUGCCAUCAUUCAGUUGGGCACUCUAGCGAGACUGCCGGUAAUAAACCGGAGGAAGGUGGGGAUGACGUCAAAUCAUCAUGCCCCUUAUGACCUGGGCUACACACGUGCUACAAUGGUUGGUACAACGAGUUGCGAGUCGGUGACGGCAAGCUAAUCUCUUAAAGCCAAUCUCAGUUCGGAUUGUAGGCUGCAACUCGCCUACAUGAAGUCGGAAUCGCUAGUAAUCGCGGAUCAGCACGCCGCGGUGAAUACGUUCCCGGGCCUUGUACACACCGCCCGUCACACCACGAGAGUUUGUAACACCCGAAGUCGGUGAGGUAACCUUUUGGAGCCAGCCGCCUAAGGUGGGAUAGAUGAUUGGGGUG
rnacentral:rRNA from 1 species